CAAACUACCAUCUCACUAAAUAAGCCAAAACUCUUUCUCUUCCACCCUUCCCAAGAUUCAUUCAAUCUCUCUCUUCUCUACGAUUUCAACCUCCAACCAUCUUCUUCUUAAAUCUUCUCCAUUUUUAGUUUCCCUCUGUUUCUUCAUCAUCAAAUUUUUAGUUUCCCCUAUUCCGAUUUGUUUUUUGGAUCUUAAGGCACUGAUUAGGGAGCGUUGUGGUUGUUGGUAUGGGCAUAGAGGGAAACAUAUUGCCACAUUGAAACACAGAUCUCUCUCAUCUUAUUUUCAUUCCUCCUAUCACUCACCACAAGAUCUGAAUCGGUUUUAUCAGCCAAAGCUUCCUUCACUUCAAUCUCAGUUCUUUGCCAAUCACCAAGAUUGCAUUGACCAAAUCGCUUUAUGAUUUCAUCUAAGAUCCACCAUUGAUUUUUGGAUUCAAGCUUACAGUGUGAUAAUAAAGACCGCAGACGGAUUGAAGUUUUGAUUGAAGCUGGAUGUACCAAUCUUUCUUUUAAGAUCCACAGCUAAUUCAGGGAAUUACUUUAGCUAUGUGCGUUUUGAUGAAAAAGCAUGGCAUUUGGUGGAUGACUCUAAAUUUCAGGUGAUGGCUGAUAGGGAGAAGAAAUUAUUGAUUCUAUUUUUUUCUUUGGCUAUUGUUUCAAUCUUUAAAGAU